CGUUUUGAACGUCAUGGAGCAUAUGAGAUGUUCCAGGAGUUGAAGUUAAUAUUUCAAGCAAAUGCCCGGAUUGAGAGAUAUGAAGUCUCCAAUAAGUUCUAUAGCUGCAAGAUGGAGGAGAACAGUUCUGUCAGUGAGCAUAUACUCAAGAUGUCUGGGUAUAAUAAUCACUUGAUUCAACUGGGAGUUAAUCUUCCGGAUGAUAGCGUCAUUGACAGAAUUCUCCAAUCACUGCCACCAAGCUACAAAAGCUUUGUGAUGAACUAUAAUAUGCAAGGGAUGGAAAAGACAAUUCCCGAGCUCUUCGCGAUGCUAAAAGCUGCGGAGGUAGAAAUCAAGAAGGAGCAUCAAGUGUUGAUGGUCAACAAGACCACUAGUUUCAAGAAAAAGGGCAAAGGGAAGAAGAAGGGGAACUUCAAGAAGAACAGCAAGCAAGUUGCUGCUCAGGAGAAGAAACCCAAGUCUGGACCUAAGCCUGAAACUGAGUGCUUCUACUGCAAGCAGACUGGUCACUGGAAGCGGAACUGCCCCAAGUAUUUGGCGGAUAAGAAGGAUGGCAAGGUGAACAAAGGUAUAUGUGAUAUACAUGUUAUUGAUGUGUACCUUACUAGAGCUCGCAGUAGCACCUGGGUAUUUGAUUCUGGUUCUGUUGCUAAUAUUUGCAACUCGAAACAGGGACUACGGAUUAAGCGAACACUGGCCAAGGACGAGGUGACGAUGUGCGUGGGAAAUGGUUCCAAAGUCGAUGUGAUCGCGGUCGACACGCUACCUCUACAUCUACCUUCAGGAUUAGUAUUAGACCUAAAUAAUUGUUAUUUGGUGCCAGCGUUGAGCAUGAACAUUAUAUCUGGAUCUUGUUUGAUACGAGACGGUUAUUCAUUUAAAUUAGAGAAUAAUGGUUGUUCUAUUUAUAUGAGUAAUAUCUUUUAUGGUCAUGCACCCUUGAAGAGUGGUCUAUUUUUGAUGAAUCUCGAUAGUAGUGAUACACGUAUUCAUAAUGUUGAAACCAAAAGAUGCAGAGUUGAUAAUGAUAGUGCAACUUACUUGUGGCACUGCCGUUUGGGUCAUAUCGGUGUAAAGCGCAUGAAGAAACUCCAUACUGAUGGACUUUUGGAACCACUUGAUUAUGAAUCACUUGGUACUUGCGAACCGUGCCUUAUGGGC
rnacentral:rRNA from 1 species